rnacentral:siRNA from 1 species
GAAGUCAAAGGCAGAGUGCACUU